rnacentral:rRNA from 1 species
UACGUAGGGUGCAAGCGUUGUCCGGAAUCAUUGGGCGUAAGGCGCGUGUAGGCGGUCCGGUAAGUCCGCUGUGAAAGUCGAGGGCUCAACCCUCGAAUGCCGGUGGAUACUGUCGGGCUUGAGUACGGGAGAGGCGAGUGGAAUUCCUGGUGUAGCGGUGAAAUGCGCAGAUAUCAGGAGGAACACCGAUUGCGAAGGCAGCUCGCUGGAACGUUACUGACGCUGAGACGCGAAAGCGUGGGGAGCAAACAGG